rnacentral:lncRNA from 1 species
AUUCAUCAACGUUGAUUAAGCACUUACUAUGUGCUGAGAAUACAAAGGGUUGCAGAAAAGGAAGAAGAAUCAGCAGAGAGCAUUUGUGGCCAGCAAAGCUUAAAAUAUUUCCUAACCGAUCCUUUGCAAAAAAAGUUCACCCACUCCUGUAGUCAGCAGCUCCCCUACUGUGCGCAGUCAGUGUGCCAUCUCAGACUAGCAAAGUUGUCCAGAGAGGAAAGACAGGCCAAAAUAGUUCAGUAUGCUGUCUUACUGGGAGGACAACAGCUUAAGCCACAAAGCCCUGAGUUUGACCCUAGAACUCUGUGGCUACUGGUGACUCAUCUUGAAAAUUAUCAGAUUGAAUCUUCUCUACCGGUUUGAUAACAACUGAUGAGUGGAAAAAGAACGCCAAUCAAAUGUGCAUGCUUAAUAAGCAGCCUCCUUAUUCCCCUCUGCAGAUUUGUGCUUGGAUCAUCUACACUUCCCUGAAUGUUGAAGAAGAUAUGCUAUCCAUGCAAUCCUUGUCGACUGCUUGAUUAAAAAGUGGAUAAACUGUCUUCAGGCCCUUGGAGUAUGGUGUCUGUGUGAAGAAGGGAAUGAGGCAGAAGUAGCAGUCAGUGGUGGCUGAAGUAGGAGAAAGUGCUUGCUAAUGAAAUCUUGAUUUUUCUGUGGCUUUUCUGUGCAAUUGGGUGGCUAAGUAGGAAAGCCAUUGGAGCUUCACUGUAUCAAUUCUGCCUUUCUUGUUUUUUGGAACUCCAAUUCACCAAGGCUCCCUGCCACCCUAUCCAUCUAUAACUUUUCAUCACUUUUUCCUCAAAGUAAGAAGUGUGUCCCAGAAAAUGUGCCUUUGUGACUCAGCAACAUUUCAAAUCCAUCUGAGCCUUCCCAGCGUUCCAAAAGAAAUACUGAUUUGAAUUCAGCUGCUUAAAAAACCAGUCUCUAAGCAGACAGCUUGAAACUUCCUUACAGCAAUAGUUUAGGCUUUGGAGGGGAAAUUGGUUUGUUUUUAAUUGUUUUAAUUUUUCAUUCAAUUCAUUUGCCGCCUGAUUAUAUAUGAUCUUUUGAGCCCAAUACUCUGCUAAAUUAACCUUGACUUUCUUUCUCUCUUUCUCUCUCUCUCCUUCUCUCUUUCUUCCUUUCUUUCUUUCUUUUUGACAGAGCCUUGCUCUGUCGCCCAGGCUGGAAUGCAGUGGCACAAUCUCAGCUCACUGUAAACUCCGCCUCCAAAGUUCAAGCAAUUCUCCUGCCUCAGCCUCCUGUGUAGCUGGGAUUACACACGCCAGCCACCAUGCCUGGCUAAUUUUUGUAUUUUUAGUAAAGAUGGAGUUUCACCCUCUUGGCCAAGCUGGUCUCGAACUCCUGACCUCAACCUUGGCCUCUCAAAGUGCUGGGAUUACAAGCAUGAGCCACCAUGCCUGGCCUUACCUUGAUUUUUUUUUUUUGAGACAGAGUCUCACUCUGUUGCUCAGGCUGGAGUGUAGUGGCUCGAUCUUGGCUCACUGCAACCUCCAUCUCCCGGGUUCAAGAGAUUCUCCUGCCUCAGCCUCCCAAGUAGCUGGGACUACAGGUGUGGGCCACCACGCCUAGCUAAUUUUUUAUAUGUUUACUAGAGACAGGGUUUCACCAUGUUGGGCAGGCUGGUCUUGAACUCCUGACCUCAGGUGAUUCACCUGCCUCGGCCUCCCAAAAUGCUGGGAUUACAGGUGUGAGCCACCACACCCGGCCCCUACCUUUGAUUUUUAAGUCAAGAGGGAACAAGUCGAAAUUUCUAUUCAGGUAAACUGUAUACCUUUGGACACUGAAUCACUUUUAGAACCCCAGUAAAAAUCAUGUAUGAAUGACCCACAAUUUCACUCCAACAGGAAGGUGUGUAUAUGUGCACAAAAACAUUAGAUUGUUCACACCGGUGCUAUUCAUAAUAGUCAAAAACUGGAAACAACUCAAACAUCCAUCAACUGUAGAAUGGAUAAAUAAAUCAUGAUAUAUUCAUACCAUGGAACAUAACAGUGACAAUAAAUGAACCACUGCUACACACAACAGAUAUGAAUUUCACAAACAGAAUGCUGAGCAACAGAAGCCAAACACAGAAGGAUACACAUUUAUAAAUCCAUUUGUAUGAAGUUCAUAAACAGACAAAAUUAGUCAGUGGAGAUUAUUCUCAUAGAAGUCUGAAGGGUAGUUGUCUUUAGGGAGGGGGAUAUAGUGACUGAGGUGGGUAUAAGGGGUUUCUGGGGUUUGGUGAUGGUACACCAGCAUAUUCACUCUGAAAACUCAUUGAGCUGUGCAAUAAUGAUUUUUCAAACUUUUAUAUGUGUAUGAUAAUGCUUCAAUAAAGCUUUGCUUAAAAA